rnacentral:rRNA from 1 species
UACAGAGGGUGCGAGCGUUAAUCGGAAUUACUGGGCGUAAAGGGCGCGUAGGUGGUUUAUUAAGAUUGUUGUGAAAUCCCUGGGCUUAACCUAGGAACUGCAACGAUGACUGAUAAGCUUGAGUAUUGUAGAGGGUAGUGGAAUUUCCGGUGUAGCGGUGAAAUGCGUAGAGAUCGGAAGGAACACCAGUGGCGAAGGCGGCCGGCUGGGCCGACCCUGACGCUGAGGCGCGAAAGCCAGGGGAGCGAACGGA